rnacentral:lncRNA from 1 species
GCAUAGUGAAAAAUUAACUCUUGGGUACCUCAAGAUUUGGAGAUGUCUGACCCAUGUCAAGAGACAGCGGGCAGACAAGUUAGAGGCUGGUCAUUUAGGGCUUGUUUUAUAGGGUAUCCUAAGAAAAUCUUUGGAUAUUACUUCUAUAUUCUUGAGGAUCACAAUGUGAUUGUAAGCUGUCAUGCUGUAUUCCUAGAAAAAGAGUUUAUCCAAGAUGGAGACAGUAGGAGGAAGAUUGAGCUCGAAGAGAAAUUUUUUGAAGAGCAUCGAGUCCGAGAACCUGAACCCAGUAACGAGCCAGU